UACAAGGGAGACUAGUGUUAUUCAUAUUUAUUAGGUUUAAAGGGUACGUAGAUGGUAUUAAUUUUUUGUUUUUAUAAUAAAAAUUGAAACUAGAGUUCUCAUAUAGAAGAGGUAGAUUUAGAAUUGAAAGUGGAACGAUGAAAUGUUUUAAUACUUACAAGACUGGCAUGUGAAGACAAUCCUCUAUAUAUGAACUGACAUCAAGGGACGAAGGCACGGGUAACGAACAGG
rnacentral:rRNA from 1 species